rnacentral:rRNA from 1 species
UGGUGUUUAUAAUAGCGUUGCCCCACCUCUUUCCAUUCCGAACAGAGAAGUGAAAAACGUUUAUGCCGAUGGUACUGCAAAUGCGGGAGAGUAGGUAAAUGCCAGCCC